rnacentral:lncRNA from 1 species
CUACAUCAAGGUUUUCAUAGAAGUGUACAUGGAUUUAAAUGAAGAGAACAAAGGAAGUUAUCAGCAAUAGUAGCCAACAGUAGCAGUACUGGAGAAAUACUCCACACACAGCAAAAGAGAAUGCAGCAGCAACAGAAAUCAACCCAUCUUUGGAUAAUAAAUCAGCACACAGAAAGACCAGAUUUGAAGUAAAAUCCAAGCAGACCAACUCAAUUAGCACCCAGUUGAUUCGAAAUUGCACCCCAAAACCAACAGUACACCCAGAAUCGAUAUGAACCAACACUGAUCAAACCAUGCUCAUUCAAUGAAACAGUGAUCUUUUCCCUUUUGUUGUUUUCUCAUUUUUCUGUUUAUAUACUUUUUUUGUAUAUUUGAAUAACUGAAGCAAAAUCGAGAACUGAAUAAAAAUAAAGAAUUGGAUUUUUUCUAAUAGGAUUCCUUGAGCUGAAAAGGUU